UUAAGUCCCAAAGUUAACGAUUUUUUCUGCUAUUUUGGUUCUUAUAUAGGUUCUUUUGUUUGCCAGGAACAAGGAUUCAUUCAGGUUACCUCCUACAGGGAAUCUUAUAAAAAUAAAGGAAACAGGAAUCUUAGCCAAUCCUCAAGGAAAGCCAGGAAAAAAAGAAAAAAAAAAAGGUGUUUUAAGCAAGAAUAAGAAAGACUGAACAGCCAAACCUUGUGGCAACUGGAAUGUAGACUUGAUGCAAAUGCAGGUUGUCUCCUUGUUUUCUCAGCUGCCUGGGCUCCACCCCCUGCUCUCUGUCCCUCCCAUUCAGCUUCCAGUUUCUGUCUUGAAUGGGCUCACUCGGGUAUGUUUUCCCCUCCACUUCCACCACCAACAAGCUACCUCUCAAUGUGUCUCCCAGUCUAACCCCCACCAAGAGGAAGACUGGGAAUCAGUGUUACUAUGAAGGAAGACUCUGACUUCACCCCUCCUCAGAAGCCCCCAGACACCCUGAAGUUAGACGUCCAACAGAUACAUCACGGUGGCCAAGACCGCAGUCAGUUGGUGAUCCUUAAUCCAGGAAAUGGACCUAGACUCAUUAAGUUCAGAAGCGGUGUGGCUUCAAUAAACUGUCAGUUGUUCUUAGAACCUAACCCAUCUACAAGGCAUGUGAGUGUCUUCAAGAUCUGUUCUUUGCCUACCUUUACUGCUAAGAUUAUCUCUAGCCUCAUACUUUGUGUAUGGAAAAACUCCAAACUUAUAGAAGAAUCAAAUAAGUAUCACAAUAUACAUGUACCCUUCAUCAAAAAUAAAUAAGUGUUAACAUCCAGUCGUGCUUUCUUCAGAACUUUUUUUUUUUUUAAGAAAAUA
rnacentral:lncRNA from 1 species